AGUGCGUGGGCGGCGAUCCAGCAGCAGCAGGCGCAGAUCCACAGGCCAAAGGAGAUGCAGACGCGGUGGUGGGCAAAGCAGCGGUCCAGGUUCCGCUGCAGCGGCCCUCUGGAGCCGCGACCGACUGCGUGCGGGAGAAGGGCACGUCCAGUUCUGCUGCUCCCGGGAGCUGGCGGCGGCGGCCAAGACUCGAGGUUAAAGUUUCCGGGACCGGGCGGCUCCCCACCCCUGGCGCUAUUGUCGGGGGUCCGCGGGCCGGAGGCCGCCCCCCAGCGGCGGGAGCCGGGAGCAGCGUCCGCACAAAGGCUGCAGCCCCCACCCCUGAGAGCAAUAGCCACGCGGCUCCGCAGCCCCCUUCGCUGCCACCCAGCCCCCCAAACCCUCGGCGUGAGCGGAAUGCAGUGAGCUGAUGGGUCACUGUAAGGCACUUUGUCUGUUCUUCAAGGCACCACAUUUUCUGGGCCGAACAAUGCACACUUCGAGCCUGGCGAAGCUCCUGCGUGCUGGGGAUCCCGAGGUGAGGUGAGCGGAGCGUAGUCCCGGUGGUUAAAAGGCUGCAACACAAAGGUGUGGGGGGAGGAGACAAAUGCGCUGGUGAACAAAUCCCUCUCCAUCGUCUUUCUUUUGUGAACCCGGGAUGGCACCCUCUGCCCCACGCAGUCGCCCAAGCCAGGCUUAUUAAUGGACAGCUACCCCAGUUGCCUCUUUUUGUCCAGCCACACCGCCACACUUUGAGGCACACAGGGCUGUUUUUCCUGAAAAUAAACUGUUGUCAUAAUGUUUAAA